rnacentral:rRNA from 1 species
UACGGAGGGUGCGAGCGUUGUCCGGAAUCACUGGGCGUAAAGGGCGCGUAGGUGGCCCGUCAAGCGCGCGGUGAAAGCCCGGGGCUCAACCCCGGGUCGGCCGUGCGGACUGGCGGGCUCGAGCACUGUAGGGGCGGGUGGAAUUCCGGGUGUAGCGGUGGAAUGCGUAGAUAUCAGGAGGAACACCGAUGGCGAAGGCAGGUCUCUGGGCUGACACUGACGCUCAUGCACGAAAGCGUGGGGAGCAAACAGG